CAGAGGGUGCGAGUGUUGUUCGGAAUUAUUGGGCGUAAAGCGCUUGUAGGCGGCUUGUUAAGUCCUGUGUGAAAGCCCUUGGCUUAACCAAGGAAGUGCGCAGGAAACUGGCGAGCUUGAGUGCCGGAGAGGGUCGCGGAAUUCCCGGUGUAGAGGUGAAAUUCGUAGAUAUCGGGAGGAACACCAGUGGCGAAGGCGGCGACCUGGACGGACACUGACGCUGAGACGCGAAAGCGUGGGGAGCAAACAGGAUUAGAUACCCUGGUAGUCCACGCUGUAAACGAUGGAUGCUAGGUGUGGCGGGUUUUGACCCCUGCCGUGCCGCAGCUAACGCAAUAAGCAUCCCGCCUGGGAAGUACGGCCGCAAGGCUA
rnacentral:rRNA from 1 species